UACGUAGGGGGCAAGCGUUGUCCGGAAUUACUGGGCGUAAAGCGCGUGUAGGCGGCUAAGUAAGUCGGGCGUGAAAUCCCACGGCUCAACCGUGGAAGUGCACUCGAAACUGCAUAGCUAGAGUCCUGGAGAGGAAGGUGGAAUGCUUGGUGUAGAGGUGAAAUUCGUAGAUAUCAAGCGGAACACCGGUGGCGAAGGCGGCCUUCUGGACAGUGACUGACGCUGAGA
rnacentral:rRNA from 1 species